CUGCUGAUUUGCAUGUGCACAGAGCACUGUCCAGAGCCCUGGAGGCUUCUUCAUAGGCUGCUCAAACCCUGUGUAGGACUCAGUCCCAGUCGGCACACAGCAUGGACAUGUGGGUCCCCGCUCAGCUCCUGGGGCUUCUGCUGCUCUGGCUGCCAGGUGGAAAAUGUGACAUCCAGUUGACCCAGUCUCCCUCUGUGUCUGCAUCUUUAGGAGAGAGAGUCACCAUCACUUGCCAAGCCAGCCAGGAUAUUAGCACUAUUUUACACUGGUAUCAGCAGAAACAUGGGAAAACUCCUAAGCUUCUUAUUUAUGGUGCAAGCAAUUUGCAAUCUGGGGUUCCUUCGAGGUUCAGUGGCAGUGGGUCUGGGACAGAUUUCACUCUCACCAUCAGCAGUGUAGAGCCUGAAGAUGUUGCGACUUAUUACUGUCAACAUAAUUAUGGUAUACCUCCCACAGUGAUACAAGCCAUAACAUAA